rnacentral:rRNA from 1 species
UACGGGGGGGGGCAAGCGUUGUUCGGAAUUACUGGGCGUAAAGGGCUCGUAGGUGGCCAACUAAGUCAGACGUGAAAUCCCUCGGCUUAACCGGGGAACUGCGUCUGAUACUGGAUGGCUUGAGUUCGGGAGAGGGAUGCGGAAUUCCAGGUGUAGCGGUGAAAUGCGUAGAUAUCUGGAGGAACACCGGUGGCGAAGGCGGCAUCCUGGACCGACAUUGACGCUGAUGAGCGAAAGCUAGGGGAGCAAACAGGG